GGCCACCAACAAUACCACAAAUACCAUCUAACAAUACCACGACAGUCAAUGAAGCAUGCGACAAAAACUAGGAUUUUCUCGGGUUCUUUCUACUUUUUAGCAUCAAAACUUAAAAUUCUUACCCCAUUUUCAUCAUUGUUUUAAAAGCCCUAAUUUUUAGAAUAAUGAACAAAUGUAGAACUCUUCUCGAACUCUAUUACCUGCGAAGAUAGAGAAAACAACGGAUACAAGCGAGAAUGAAUUCGAAAAUAACAAUUAUGUGGUCGGAAAUAGAAAGAAAAUCGAUCUGUUUUGAAGGGUUGAGCAAUAUGUUGAGUAGUUAUUGUCUGUAGUGUAGAAAGAGAAAGAAAAGAACGAGAAAUCGAGAUUUGAAAUGAUGAAAUAUUUUUUCCGCAAAUGGAUGGUUUGUAUUGGGUUGAUUUGUAUUUUUUGAAAAAGAAUGACAAGUUUUGAAAUUGUUAAUUUGAUUUGAAUUGAUGUUAGUUAUUUUUUUAAAUCAAUUGCAAAGAAAUAUGUUGUGUUAGAUGACUGAGUUGUUGGAAAUGUUCAAACAGAUAUUGAUAUCUAUUGCAACAGAUGACAAUUUUUUUUGAAUUUUUUUUUUAAUCUUAAAGCAAUUUUCUGUCCGAAAGAAUAAAGAUAAAAUACUACUAAGGCGGUAAAAAAUACUUCUUGGAUAACUCCAUUUUGCAAAAUAGACACAUUGAAAACUUUUUUAGUUUUUUUGACACACGUCUUGAAAAAUUAAGUAUUUAGACACUAGGUUGACAUCGUCACUUCUUAUAUACAACCCUAACACACACAUAGUUUAUUGGGAUAUAUUGUGUGUCAAGUCUAUUGGGAUUAUUCUUUACAUACCACAUAGUUUAUUAUCGAUUCUAUUUCAAGAAUAUUAAAAAGUCUAAUUAUUCGAAUGAACAGAUAAACAGUCGAGCAUUUAUGACACAUCAAAAAAGCGGUUGCACAUCCACUCACACCCUGCGUCGAUUGGUUAUACGUAUCUCCUCGAAUUUCACCGACGCACCCGUCUACCUACAACUGAUCGAGAAGAUCAAAGGCUUUGAUUUUGGUCUAUAUAAACAACCAUCAACUAUACACAAUAUUCAUCUUUUUUAACCCCAAAAAUUUGAUAAAUAGGACCAGAUACCGAGCAUUUCACUUAGACCAUGAAUGAGGGUUUGUUUUCUGCAUAGCCACAACAUUCUCCUCCUCCGAAAUGACCUAGACCUUCUCUUCUAUAGUUUGGGUCUGGUCAAGGAGCACCUCCACCGUGAAAUCUGGCGUAUCACCCGAUUUUUACGGGCGAUCGUGGAGAGGCUAAACAUGCAGCCCGAGGAGUUCAUCACCCCCCACCAUCCCCCUAAUUUAGGUUUAAAUUUCUGUUGUAAUUGUAGUUGUAAGUUCAUUACAAAAAAACUUUUAUGGCUAGGGAAUUUGUUAGAUGAAAGCUCCUUUCUUUUGUCUCUUUUGCUCGUAGUUUGCUGUAAAUAUGAUGUUAAACCAUUGCUGUAAUGAACUUACAAAAUGAGUGUUUGAAAUUUUAUUGCAAUGCCCUUUAUGUUUGUCUCUACAUUAAUUAUACAAUUUUGUUCUUGGUUGAAAUUUUGCAAUUUUUCCUGUUAUUAAUUGAACGAAUCUGUUCUAUUAACAAUUAUGUGAAUUUCUACAAAAUUAAUUGCACGGUUGAUAUAGUAUAUGAUUGAUCGAGAUCAAUAAUUACGCGUGACUGUCUACGUAAUCGAUGAAUUUCAUUAUGUGGGUUCAUUAUAUAUAAAUAAUUAAAUAACUAUAAUUGUGUCGAUUGUAAAUCAUAGACUGCAAGCUUUGUCACUAAUAUAUCAUACCGCUAGACCUCUUGCAUAGAUCGUAAAUAUAAUCGAUGCCUUCUCAUGCGUUGGGUAGAUGCUAAACCGUAUAGAUCCACACUCAGUCAAUGCUAAGGUAUAUAUGGGUUGGUGAAGCAGUCAAAAAAAUAUUAGUACAUAGUCAAAGAUAUAAAUAAUUAAAUAAGUGAAACUGAUUUGAGGGCCAUAUAUUGUGUCUAUUGUAAAUCAUAGACUUAAAGCCUUGUCAUUAAUAUAUCGAAUUUGUUUAUUGCUCUUAGUAGCAUAUUUGAAAAAAAAAAAAUUAAUAAAUAAAAUAAUAAAUAAUUAGAUUUUAUGUAAAUAAAGGAGCUUGAACAAGUCUUAUGAUCGUAUAAGAGUCCAUGUAAAUUGAAAAAGUUGAUCAAAGAUGUGUGUGGAUAGGUAGUGAAUGAACAAAUGAAUUCCUCAUAACAUACUUGUGCUUUGGUAAACAUUGUCCUAAGGAUAUUGGUUGUUCAACCACAAGUCAUCACCUCAUACAUCUUUGAUCACCACUUUCAAUUUACAUGGGCUCUCAUACGAUCACAUGACUUGUUUAUGCUCAUUUAAUUGCAUAAAAUCUAAUUCUAUAUUAUUUUAUUAAUUAAAUAAUUCUUUUCAAAAUAUGUGUUUGUCAUGGUCAAUGAAUAUGUAUCCUCGUCUAGUGGAUUUAUUAAUGAAGCAGUCUGUAGUUUAUGCUAGACUAUGCUUAAUUAUUUACUCGACCUGAUAUAAUCUAGAAUAGAUUGUGAACUAUUCCACAAUUAAAUAACUAGAUGAGGAUAUUUAUUUAUAGACUAUGACUAGCACAUUUAUGGCGGUGUUUAAGACAUUGCGGAAUGACAGAAAUGUCCUAAAAAAUCGUUAAAGAAUUUAAGGGCCCGUUUGGUCAUGAAAUUUUUUUUCUUUUUUCGAAAAAUUUUUAUGAAGUUAAAAAUUAUGGUGUUUGACCAUGAAAAUUCAAAAAAUAAUUCCAAAUUUUUUUUCUGAAAAGGGAAAAUAGAUUUCUGUUGUUUUCACAAUUUUUCAACUCCAAUUUCAACUUUUAUUAUUAUUACAUAUAACCCCAAUCUUUUAAAUUUUUACAUAAAACUCUCCUCAUAACAUUACUUUUUCAAUAUUACGUAUAACAGUUUUAAAGAAUAAGAUAAUUAUAAUUUCAAAUUUAAUGUUAUCCUAAUUAAUAUAUAUCUCUUUUUCUCUCUCAUCAUUAUUUUUAUCUCUAAUUUAAUUUUUUCCUUAUUUAAGACAUUAUUUUACUGCUAAUUUAUAUUUAUACCCAUAAAUAUAUAAAGUAUUAUAUUUAUAAUGGAAAUAUACAAAGUAUGUUAUAUAUAAAGUUUAUACCAUGUAUAUACNNNNNNNNNNNNNNNNNNNNNNNNNNNNNNNNNNNNNNNNNNNNNNNNNUAUAAAAAUACAAAGUAUAAAGAAACAUAUUAAGCAUAUUUAUAUAUUUAUGGUAUAUUAUAUAAUAUACCGUAAAUAUGCAAAGCAUGUUUUACAUAGAAAUAAUUUAUUCACACACAGUAAAAUUUUUCAUGUAUAAGAAAAUUAAAAAAUAAAUUAGUGACACCCUAAAAUUUAAUAAUAACUCAUCAUUUCCUAUUUUUUAGGAACGAAAAGUGAAGGAAAUAAAUUAAAUAAAUUCCUAAAAAAAUAAAUUUAUUUGAAAGAUAAUAUUUGUUAUUUAAAAAACAGGAAACAAUGAUCUGUUAAUAUAACAUCCAUAUUUAAAAUUUUCAAAUAUGAGAAAACGGCUAUUAAUGUAAAUAUUAUAUAUGUCAUAAUUAAAACUCAUUAAAUAUGACCAUAUAUAUAUAAUUAUUUUUAUAAUAGUGACUAAUUGUAUUCUUUUUUCAUUAGUAGGUAAAUUUUAAUCGGAUGAUUUUAUAGUUUGUAAAAGUUAGGGCAUAAAAUCAUAUUUAAAAUUUUUUUUUCAAAAGUCAAUUUUUUUUUUUCAAAAAAAACAUGGUCAAACACAACUCCAACUUCAAAAAUUUUAGUUUUCAUGGUCAAACGGCUACUAAGCCACUAAGAUUGUCCUGCUAGGUUAGCUGAAGGGCAAUUUCGUCAUUUCACAUAUUACAGCUACCACACAACCCUAUGAGGACAUUUCUGUCAUUCCACAACAAUCUCAACCACAACCAUAAAUUCUUUAACGAUUCAAUAGUGACAUAUAGGAAUGUACAUAGAUCAGACUGGUUCGAUUUUUUAUUAAAAUAUAACAAAAUCAAUAAUGUCGAUUUUUUAAAUCUAUAAACCAAAUCAAAUCAAUAUACAAUUAAUUUUUUUAUUUUAAUUUUAGUCGAAUUUUUUCAAUUUUUUUGAUUUUCUCAAUUUUUUUACAAUUAUAAUAUGAUUGAAAAAAAAAAUUAAUUGUUUUCACUAAAAAGAUUAAAAAAAAAAAAAUGAUCAUAGAAUAGUUUCAAUAAAAAUUAAGUUGGUAAAUUAUUAAGACGCCUAAAUUAUUAUCUUUCAAAAUAAUAUUAUGUGAAUACUUAAUAGUUUAAUUUCUAAGUCACGAGUCACAAUAAUUUAUCUAAAAAUUUCCUUCACAUAAAAUACAAGCAUAUAAAAAAACAAAGAAUUGGAGACAAUUUAUUAAAAAACUUAACUUUAUAACAUAAUUCCAUAAAAAAAAAAGAAACAAACCUAAAUCACAACUUGACGACGAAUGCGAAAAAUAAAAUAAAAAUAAAAUAGAAAAUAAUGAGAACUCUCUAAAAAUUCAAAAAGUAAAAUGUAACAAGUAAAGCAAUUAAAGAAUUUUAAAUUUUUAUAUUAAUAUUGAAUUUUAUAUUAAUUUAUUAUUAAUAAAAAGAUAUUAUAAUUAAAGAUCCAAAAGUAUAUAUCUAUUUUUUAAAUAUAAAAAAUAAUAAAUAUAAUUAAAAAAUAAAUUAUAAGUAGUAUUUUUAUGUAUAAACAUUAAAAUUAUAUUUAUAUUACGUCGAUUCGAUUUGAUUUUAGUUUUGCUAAUAUCAAAUCAAAUUUUAUGAUUGAACUUUUUUGCCAACACAAAAUCAAUCAAAUCAAAUUAUAAAUCAAUUUUUUUCUUGAUUUGAUUUGAUUCAUAGGUUCAAUUUGAUUUAACGGUUCGAUUUGUAUACACAGAUAGUAGAGGAGAUCGAUGUUGAUGAAAACGAAACUUUGAAAUCUGAAGCUUACAUGAGCAAAGUCUGGGCAAAGAAGACAACCCAUCCGCCAUGCCUUCAGACCUCGGCUGCAAUGAGGGUUUCAAAUAGGCUAUAUCUCAAAAUUCGCAAUCAUAAUGAUGUUAUAUUACAAUAAUUACAGCCACCACAAAACGCCUUAACAGGGCACUUUGCCAUUUCAACAAUAAUCGCAACUACCACAAAAUUUUCUUUCAGUAUUCAACGCCGGCAUAGAUAGUGUCGGAGUGGAGGAGACGAUGAUGAUGAUGAUAACGACGGAGAAGAAGCAAAAGAGUAGAUCUAAAAACCUAUAUCAUUUUUAUGGCAGAAAGUUUUGAUUUUGAGGCUCAGAUUAGUAAAAUCAGGGCAAAGGAGACAACAGAUCCGCCAAGGCUGCAACAGUAUCAGUAACAACAACAUACUUUUUGAGUUUUGACUUAGGGAGACAACAGAUCUGCCAUGGCUGCAACAUUUUAAUGCAUGCCAAGUUCUUGAUUCCAUUUUUGCAACUGAUUUUUUGAAUAUUUAACUCAUUAUGCAGUGAUUCAAGAAAAGCAUGAACAAGUACCCCUUCACUAAUUUUUAGAUCCCAUACUUUGAUUUCCUUUUUAAUAAUUAGGAUAUUGAUGAAAUAAGUUGUUGAGUGAAUAAGCUGUUGGACACUUGAACUUGUGGAAAUUGAAUCUACUUUUGUGGCUAUGAUAAAAGUGAAGAAACUGGAAUCUUCU
rnacentral:lncRNA from 1 species